rnacentral:lncRNA from 1 species
GGCGACGCCGACCCCCAAACGCCGCGCACAGCCCAGCCUCCUCCGGGUGCCGGCCAGCGGCCUGGGAGCCGCAGCAUGCUGCGCAUGCUCAGCAGCGGGAUUGGGGGUUCGUGGCCGCUCCCGGUGCCUGGGGUGGGCUGCGCAUGCUCAGCAGUGGGGCUGGGUGGUCAGGGCCUCCUGCGCGGCGCCGGGGUGUGCUGCGCAUGCUCAGCAGCGGCGUUGAGGGGUCGGCGGUCAGCUCCCAGCGCCUGUGGUGUACUGCGCAUGCUCAGCAGCGAAGUUUACGGGGUCGGUGGUCGGCUUGUCCCGGCUGGGCCCGGUGUCAGCCCUGCCUCUGUAACGCUAGCUUUGCAAGGCGGGGCUAGGCUUUGCACCGGUGUCCCGUUGCUUGCACAGCACCAGUCCAGAUCCGCUCACCUUGUUUAUUUGCAAAUGGUUUUGCAGUAACCAAGGUUUACUGCAAAAGAGAGGGCCAGGGGAGGCCUCAGGGAUAGGCUGAGGGGUGACUGGAUCUAAUCUUCAUUCAUGUGAUUUAAAUGAAAUACACAGGGUUACCUGGACACCACACUUUUUCCCUUGGGAAAGGAUUAUAGAAUAGAAUAUUCCAGCAUAAUCUAUUUGGAGAUCAUCUUGUUCUAUCCUAAGUAACAGAAGAGGGAAGUGACAACUGGCAUACCAGUGCCAAACACGGCAUGCAUGUUAAUGUUUACAUAGUAUUUGUCUUUUCCUAGGAUAAGGUUUAACACUUAUCUUGCUGGAGGGUACUAUCUUCAAAGCAAUCAAGUGGUUUAUAGUUUUCCAUUAAUGAGAGGAGAAUAAAUUUUGGCUUAUUAUGUUUAUCCACAAUCCAAACAACCAGAGGGUUCAAAUUAAUACACUUGGGGAGUUUCAUUGUGCAUUUGACGGUUUUAAGAACAAGAGUGAGAUUACAGGUCAGCUUCU